rnacentral:tRNA from 1 species
GGGGCCGUAGCUCAGUUGGUAGAGCGACUCGUUCGCAAUGAGGAGGUCAGCGGUUCGAUUCCGCUCGGCUCCACCA